UACAGAGGUCUCAAGCGUUUGUUCGGAUUCAUUGGGCGUAAAGGGUGCGUAGGCGGCGCGGUAAGUCGGGUGUGAAAUCUCGGGGCUUAACUCCGAAACUGCAUUCGAUACUGCCGUGCUUGAGGACUGGAGAGGAGACUGGAAUUUACGGUGUAGCGGUGAAAUGCGUAGAUAUCGUAAGGAAGACCAGUGGCGAAGGCGGGUCUCUGGACUGUCCGUGACGUCAGGCGCGAAAGCUAGGGGAGCGAACAGG
rnacentral:rRNA from 1 species